rnacentral:rRNA from 1 species
UACAGAGGUCUCAAGCGUUGUUCGGAUUCAUUGGGCGUAAAGGGUGCGUAGGUGGCGGGGUAAGUCAGGUGUGAAAUCUCGGAGCUCAACUCCGAAACUGCACUUGAUACUGCCUUGCUCGAGUACUGGAGAGGAGAUUGGAAUUUACGGUGUAGCAGUGAAAUGCGUAGAUAUCGGGAGGAACACCGGUGGCGAAGGCGGUUCUCUGGGCCUUACCUGACGCUGAGGAGCGAAAGCGUGGGGAGCGAACAGG